rnacentral:tRNA from 55 species
CGGGGAGUAGCUCAGCUUGGUAGAGCACUUGGUUUGGGACCAAGGGGUCGCAGGUUCGAAUCCUGUCUUCCCGACCA